rnacentral:rRNA from 1 species
AUACGGAGGGUGCAAGCGUUACUCGGAAUCACUGGGCGUAAAGCGCGCGCAGGCGGCUAUUUAAGUUGGAUGUGAAAGCCUACGGCUCAACCGUAGAACUGCAUCCAAAACUAUUUAGCUAGGGUGUGGGAGAGGAAGAUGGAAUUAGUUGUGUAGGGGUAAAAUCCGUAGAGAUAACUAGGAAUACCAAAAGCGAAGGCAAUCUUCUGGAACACUACUGACGCUGAGGCGCGAAAGCGUGGGGAGCAAACAGGAUUAGAAACCCGAGUAGUCC